CAGCCCGGUGACCUGACAUUUGGAGGGUUUGAUGGGCUUCGGCCCAGUGCAGUUCCAACUUUGCAUUCCAGUGGGCGGCAGUGGAGAAUGGGGUGGUAAACAAGGGUCGCUGCUUUUUUCUCUCGCCUUUAUCCACUUGAAGGAACUUGGGUUUAGCCCCCCUUUGUCCUCAUUCUCUCUUUACUUCUGUGGUGUUUCCAAAUGCCCUUUGUCCUCACCCUGCCCCCAACUUUCAGGCUUGUUGUUGUUGUUGUUUUGUUCCUGCGUGCAGACAUACUCGCAGAGGGUGGACCUUAAUGUGGGGAGAUUGAGCGUUCCCCACUUUAGGGAGACGAAAUUGGAACCUUUCGCUCAGGUGGCUAACUCACUAGCAAAGGGGUGGUCUCACGGAUUGCAGGUGUCAUCGCAGGCGCAUAUUAAAUUUCCUAUUGACUACCCAUAUUCACCACCUACCUUCAGAUUCUUGACCAAAAUGUGGCACCCCAACAUUUAUGAGAAUGGAGAUGUAUGCAUUUCAAUUCUUCAUCCACCCGUAGAUGCCCCACAGAGUGGUGAACUGCCCUCCGAAAGGUGGAAUCCUACUCAGAAUGUCAGGAAAAGGUUUCAUCAAAUCAAACAUCUAAUUGCCUGGUCCCCUCUCUUUAUUUUUUGCUUGGGGCCAGGAGCAAAAGGCUAUUUUGCAACAACACAAUGUAUAACCUCGCACCAAUGAGAAAAGGACUAUCCUGUUAAGUGUAAUCUCAUUGCUUAAUGAGCCCAACACCUUCUCCCCAGCCAAUGUGGAUGCUUCAGUUAUGUUCAGGAAAUGGAGGGACAGUAAAGGAAAAGACAAAGAAUAUGCUGAAAUCAUUAGGGUUGAAGCCUGAUGUUCAAGGAAAGGACGGAUUUAGUAAGUGAAGAAUCCAGAGGUAUUUGUAUUCUUCCUGAUUCUUACUUUGAGUUUCUUUAUGUCAUUCUUAUAUUCUUUCAACAUAUUUUAUGCACCUGCAUUGUGUCAGUUACACUGCUAGGUCAUUAAGCUGUAGUCUUUCUCCCUGGGGAGCUCACUUUACUUAGCAAACAAAUGAGUGCAACUGUAGAAGCUUAAACAAGAUACACUGGAAGGAAUAUAUAAUACUAUGGAGUCCCUAGAAGAUAAUGCCUCAUAAAUAAGAAUUUUCCAGUAAAAGGGCAAAGAAAAAGCCUCUUCAGGGAGAGAAACAUGUUUGCUAAAACAGAGGUGUGUAACAGCAUGGCAUGUCAAGAGAAUUGUAAGUAGCUUUACAUUGCUUGAAUAUAAAUUCUGAUUUGGGAAAUUAAGAGGCAUCAAUCAGGUCUUAAAAGACAUUGAUGUGCCCUAGCCUAUUUGGCUCAGUGGAUUGAGCAUCAGCCUACAGACUGAAGGGUCCCGGGUUCAAUUCCAGU